GCGCGCGUAGCUCAGCGGUAGAGCAACUGUCUUAUACACAGUGGGUCCUAGGUUCGAAUCCUAGCGCGCGCA
rnacentral:tRNA from 1 species